rnacentral:lncRNA from 1 species
GCCAGGCUCCUGGAAGCGCAGAAACAGGAGCAGAUUUGCAAAGGAGGAGAAAGCCCGGACGUGGAGGGCUCGAAGUGGGCUUGAACUGCUGGAGGUGCUAAGAAACGGUUUCCUUCCUCCUCAGAUCUCUCCGCAGUCUGCGACAGGCCAGGGCUGCUGCCAACCUCGGGGUGAUCAUGUGACCCCAAGGCUAGCCAGCAAGAGGACCUCAUUCCUCCACCACAGACAGCAGGACAGGGGUGGGCAUGGGGCCCGAGCCCACACAAAGCCCUGCCUGGGAUUUUGCUGAAGACAGAAGCACCCUGACCCUCCAAGUUGGGAGUUUCGAGGACCCCCUGAACUUAGAGCUCCUGGGCCGUCUUUCCCUGAGAAUGAAGCCAACACAGGCAGGAUUGAGCUUAGAGUCUGAAUUAGAUGGUGCCUAGUGACCGCCUCUGAACUCCUGGACCCAGCUACACCUGAAGCCACUCUACCCCACAUUUUCUAGGCAAGUCAACCUGCAAACGCCCUUCUUUUCUGAAAUGAGCUUGGGUUGGGAUUCUGUCACUUCAACCAAAAGGACCCCAGCCAUGCAAUGUUGCAAUAUCGAAGUAGGAUGGUCUAGGCUUUAUGAGUGGCAGACCGAGGCGGGGCAGGAAGAUGGAGGCUUUCUGGCUCCCAACAGGUGGAAGAGGGGAGUCUCCGGGGUGGCCAGAUACAUCUACAGACUCACUUGCCCCUGGGCUGUUCUCCAAAACCGCCGUGGAGGUGGGACUCCGACCCAUCUGAGCCUCUUCCUGACCUGGACCACCUGGGACAGCUGUGUUUACAGCAUCUGGGCCCUUGAGCGACUUUCCUGUAUGACUGCAUGGCUAAUAGCACUUCUCCUCGACACCGGUGCUGUUCUCGGAAUCCUAUCUAGAGCUUACAGGUGAGUUGUGGGUAUUAUGAUUGACACUUUGCAAAAGAGGAAACUGAAGUUUAAAUAUCAAGGCAGCCCAGCUGGUGAGCAGCUGAGUCAGGAUCCCAGCCCGAGGCUCUGCAACAACAGCACCCUAGGGGCACCGUGGUGGCUUGGGGGCCUCUGCACAUGCAGCUUCUGGGCCCCACCCUGAGGCUUCCAGUGGGAUUUGUCUGGGUGUUGGGAACUCUAACCAUGAAACAGCUCCUCUAUACCCAGCCCCAUGGGUGAAGAGUGAGGUCUGUUCCCCUUGGGCCCUGACAGUGCCCAGGCCAGGGGGCCAGUCCUGGGAGUGCCCGCCCAGCCCUGAGCCCCAGCAAGUCCAGCAGAGCCCAUGGAUGGUGGGGAUCCCAGCCUUCCACUCACUGCAUGCCUUGGGGUGAGCCUCGAGGUGGAUCCAGCCCGGGGAGCCAGUGCCUGGGUUCUUCCACCUCAAUCUCACUCUUCUGGUUAAGCACUGGCUUCUUCCGCUUAGGUCCCUGG